CCUACGGGUGGCAGCAGUGGGGAAUAUUGCACAAUGGGGGAAACCCUGAUGCAGCGACGCCGCGUGAGUGAAGAAGGAAUUCGUUAUGUAAAGCUCUAUCAGCAGGGAAGAAAAUGACGGUACCUGAGUAAGAAGCCCCGGCGAACUACGUGCCAGCAGCCGCGGUAAUACGUAGGGGGAAAGCGUUAUCCGGAUUUACUGGGGUGAAAGGGAGCGUAGACGGCAGUGCAAGUCUGGAGUGAAAGGCGGGGGCUCAACCCCCGGACUGCUCUGGAAACUGUACGGCUGGAGUGCAGGAGAGGUAAGUGGAAUUCCUAGUGUAGCGGUGAAAUGGGUAGAUAUUAGGAGGAACACCAGUGGCGAAGGCGGCUUACUGGACUGUAACUGACGUUGAGGCUCGAAAGCGUGGGGAGCAAACAGGAUUAGAUACCCUAGUAGUC
rnacentral:rRNA from 1 species